rnacentral:lncRNA from 1 species
AAAUUUAUUUAAAUUAUAAAUUAUUUUGAGCCAAUUAUUUAAUUUAUAAAAAUUUAAUUUCACCGUCAAUCUUUUAAUUUAUUUAAUUUAAAUCAAUUAAUAACAUUCUAAUUUUAAAAUUUAAAUAUACCAUUUAAUUUUACAAGUUUUUUUAAAGUUGAAUUAUCGUUGACUAAUUCAAAUCAAAUAAAUUGAAAAAUUGGAUAGUAAGAUUAAAAUUUUAAAAUAUUUGAUAGUCGACUCAAGAUGACCCGCAAUUCAAAUAAGUUCGGUAAGUUUUUGUCUAUCUUUUUAGUAUUUAUUUAGAUCAUUUUUAGAUGUCGGAAUGAAUUAAUUGUAAUAUUUUAUUUAAUAUAAAUUUUUUUCUAUUAUGACCGGGAGUUAAGAGUACAGUUAGGAAUGCAGACGGGAUAGAUUCUGAGGCAGGAGGGGUUUCCCACCUUCAAUCCCAUUUUCUUGGCUGAUGAAAACGGAUUCAAACAAAUUAAUUUUAAUUCUAUUUUUUCCUCUCACUUAUUGUUUCGUUUAGAGAUAGGUUCGGACAUGAGCGAAUUUAUUGCAGAUUGGAUCGGAUCAAAGGAAGGUAGGGGCCUUUCAUCUUCUACGUUAUAUUUUUUAGUUGAUCGGGAUGGAUUCGGGGCAAAUUAUUUUUUUCUUUAAUUUUGGUCUCUACUUACCUCUCUAUCGGACGAAUUAGGUCAGAAAGUCCACUAACCC